AAAGUCGGAGGUUCGAAGACGAU
rnacentral:piRNA from 4 species